rnacentral:rRNA from 1 species
UGGGGAAUCUUGGACAAUGGGCGAAAGCCUGAUCCAGCCAUGCCGCGUGUGUGAAGAAGGUCUUCGGAUUGUAAAGCACUUUAAGUUGGGAGGAAGGGCAUUUACCUAAUACGUAAGUGUUUUGACGUUACCGACAGAAUAAGCACCGGCUAACUCUGUGCCAGCAGCCGCGGUAAUACAGAGGGUGCAAGCGUUAAUCGGAAUUACUGGGCGUAAAGCGCGCGUAGGUGGUUUGUUAAGUUGGGUGUGAAAUCCCCGGGCUCAACCUGGGAACUGCAUUCAAAACUGACAAGCUAGAGUAUGGUAGAGGGUGGUGGAAUUUCCUGUGUAGCGGUGAAAUGCGUAGAUAUAGGAAGGAACGCCAGUGGCGAAGGCGAUCACCUGGACUGAUACUGACACUGAGGUGCGAAAGUGUGGGGAGCAAACAGGAUUAGAUACCCCUGUAGUCCCUGAGCGGGCUGGCAAGGCGCAU